rnacentral:rRNA from 1 species
CAGCAGCCACGGUAAUACGAAGGGUGCAAGCGUUACUCGGAAUUACUGGGCGUAAAGCGUGCGUAGGCGGUUUGUUAAGUCUGUUGUGAAAUCCCCGGGCUCAACCUGGGAAUGGCAAUGGAUACUGGCAAGCUAGAGUGUGUCAGAGGAUGGUGGAAUUCCCGGUGUAGCGGUGAAAUGCGUAGAGAUCGGGAGGAACAUCAGUGGCGAAGGCGGCCAUCUGGGACAACACUGACGCUGAGGCACGAAAGCGUGGGAAGCAAACAGGAUUAGAGACCCGCGUAGUCCCUGUCUCUUAUAC